rnacentral:rRNA from 1 species
GACGAACGCUGGCGGCGUGCCUAAUACAUGCAAGUUGAGCGCUGAAGGUUGGUACUUGUACCAACUGGAUGAGCAGCGAACGGGUGAGUAACGCGUGGGGAAUCUGCCUUUGAGCGGGGGACAACAUUUGGAAACGAAUGCUAAUACCGCAUAAAAACUUUAAACACAAGUUUUAGGUUUGAAAGAUGCAAUUGCAUCACUCAAAGAUGAUCCCGCGUUGUAUUAGCUAGUUGGUGAGGUAAAGGCUCACCAAGGCGAUGAUACAUAGCCGACCUGAGAGGGUGAUCGGCCACAUUGGGACUGAGACACGGCCCAAACUCCUACGGGAGGCAGCAGUAGGGAAUCUUCGGCAAUGGACGAAAGUCUGACCGAGCAACGCCGCGUGAGUGAAGAAGGGUUUCGGAUCGUAAAACUCUGUUGGUAGAGAAGAACGUUGGUGAGAGUGGAAAGCUCAUCAAGUGACGGUAACUACCCAGAAAGGGACGGCUAACUACGUG